rnacentral:rRNA from 1 species
CCUACGGGUGGCAGCAGUGAGGAAUAUUGGUCAAUGGACGAGAGUCUGAACCAGCCAAGUAGCGUGAAGGAUGACUGCCCUAUGGGUUGUAAACUUCUUUUAUAUGGGAAUAAAAUGUUCCACGUGUGGGCUUUUGUAUGUACCAUAUGAAUAAGGAUCGGCUAACUCCGUGCCAGCAGCCGCGGUAAUACGGAGGAUCCGAGCGUUAUCCGGAUUUAUUGGGUUUAAAGGGAGCGUAGGUGGAUUGUUAAGUCAGUUGUGAAAGUUUGCGGCUCAACCGCAAAAUUGCAGUUGAAACUGGCAGUCUUGAGUACAGGAGAGGUAGGCGGAAUGCGUGGUGUAGCGGUGAAAUGCUUAGAUAUCACGAAGAACUCCGAUUGCGAAGGCAGCUCACUGGACUGCAACUGACGCUGAGGCUCGAAAGUGUGGGUAUCAAACAGGAUUAGAUACCCCUGUAGUC